CGUGCGCCAUCGCCGACAGGGUAAUAAAUCUUGAAGAGAGAAGACAGACUUCAAGAACGUCAUUCCCAUCUAUGUAACAAGUUUGACGUCAGCCUGGGCUACACAAGACCCUGAUGGCACAGCACUCAGGAAGCAGAGGCAGGGGAAUCUCUGUGUGAGUUUGAGGCCAGCCUGGUCUACAUAAUGAAUUCUGGGUCAGCCAGGGUUACCUAAUGAGACCUUGUCUCAGAGGGGGGAGAAAAAAAAAAAAAGACUUUGGAGAGGGAGUGGAAGAAGAUAAAAUGGAAAAAAAAAAUCCCCUACUUUGGACAAGGAAGUAGAUGAUUUAAGAGGAACAAGGAGGAAACAGCAAACUGGACGCCAAGGGCAAGUUCCGGUGCUCUGCGGGUCCCCGGGCACUACUAGCGUGAAAGCACGACCCGCUGGCACCGAGGAUGCUCGCCUGUCCCUCCUCCUUGACGCUUAACCGUGGCUACAGUAGUUCAAGCCCAGAUCUACUCCUGGCAGACACCGAUGUUCACCAGCCGGGCCCAGGGGCAAAGCUGGUGAAGUUCUGGGGAUUCACGCAGCCCCGGGACACCCAGGAAGCAGCCCCCGGCCUCCCUCGGUGAGAGACUCAAGAGUUAUUUUUGAAAAGCAAGCGAGGCCUGCAGGCGGCCCUGGCAGAACUCGGAGCUGGAAGAAGAUGGGCAAGCCAGGAGCAGAGCGAAAAGACAGCUACCGCAGAGCCCACGCCCGGUCCCUAUGACGUCAGCCCCACGCACUGUGACCUAAGACGGUGGCGGUGGCGGCAGGGGGUGGGGGGAGGCCUCCUUGCACCCGCACUUUUAUAAAUUGUGGAGAUACAGUGCCCUCUGCUGGCCUCUGUGGCACCUGCACACAUAUGGUGCACAUAAACUCAGGAUUCUUACUGGAGGAAACCCGAGAACCAAGUCAUAACGACUCAACAGCCAGAAUAAUUUCAGGAUGGGAAAAAAAAAUGCUAUGUGAGCAAACCCUAACGUCGUCGUGGAGACGGGGUCUCACGUAGACCAGGCAAGCUUCAAACUCACUGUCUUCUUGGGAAUGACCUUCAACUCCCGACCCUUCUGCUUCUGCCUCUUAAGUGUUGGGAACCCAGUCCUUACGCCACAACGCUCUGCUCAAAAAGAAAAAAGGCCAAAUCUUUGUAAAGCGAGUCCCGUGGGCCAGGCAUUGCUCACAGAUGUUAAACCACAGCUCUCUUGAGUCCUCAGACUCAACACUGUGUCUGGGAUCGAGUUCUUCUGCUCACCUGUCUCUUCCUCCUUCCUCGGGCUUCCCUAGCGGCCACAGCUUCAGCUCAGAAAAGAUGUCUCCCAGCACUCAGGAGGCAGGACAAAAGUGGAUCUCCGAGAGUCUGAAGCCAGUCUGGUCUAUAUAGUAAAUCCCAGGCCAGCCAAGCCAGCUAGCCAGCCCUACAAAGUGAGACCCUCAGAAAAAAAAAAAAAAAAUGAAAAUGUGUAUGCCUAUCUUGGCAUAGCAGCCCACACCUCCUCUAAUUCCAGUCCUUGGAAGGCUGAGGAGAUCCGCCUGCCUCUGCUUCCCAAGUGCUGGGAUUAAGGGCACGCGCCACCACACUCGGUCCUAACUCUCUUUUUAAAAAUUAAAGAUGGGAGCCGGGCAGUGGUGGUGCACACCUUUAAUCCCAGCACUCGGGAGGCAGAGCCAGGCAGAGCUCUGUGAGUUCGAGGCCAGCCUGGGCUACAGGGUUCCAGGAAAGGCACAAAGCUAUAUAGGGAAAUCCUGUUGGGGGGCG